ACCUGCCCACAAGCUCCUCCAUUGGCUCUGCAUUCCUUGUGUGAUUGGCCGUCCCCGCUGUCACUCCAUCAGGUUAUAAACAGCACCAGGACGCACACCGGUCUGCCAGUUGGGGAGGAGGCCGUGUUAAUCUUCCGCUGUAAGUUGGGCGUUUGUUUUGCCUGGGCCACGUCAGCUGGAAGGAUUGUAAUAUCAGAGGUUUCAUUUACAUUAACGUUUGAAUCGGUGUGUGUGUUUGGUAAUUAGGCGCAGCCAGGAUGUCUAAAAAAAGAAAAGUGGACAUAAGAGACUUCUUUCAAAGUCAAAGUGUGGAGGUCCUUGUGAGGCUGUUGUUGGUUGUUCCAACAUCGUCUGCUGAAGCCGAGAGGAGUUUCAGUGCACUGAGGAGGUUGAAGACCUGGCUUCGCAACUGCAUGAAGCAGAAACGCCUGAACAAUGUGGCAGUUUGUCACAUACACCAAGAAAGGAUUGAUGCCUUGGACAGGAAGAAACUCUGCCAGGAAUUCAUCAUUGCCAAUGACCGAAGACAACAUGUGUUUGGAAGCUUCAUGUAGCUGAGAAGCCGCAAAUAUACUAACUGAGGCUGGUGGAUCUGUUAACCUCGCCACUGUGUGAAAGAAACAAAGAGAUAACAAAUACAGUGUUAUCAGACAAACCGUGUAAUUAUAAAUAUACACCCUUUCACACCUUAAUUGCCACAAUCAUCCUGUAAGGCUUAACAAGACGAGAAACUACUAUAACUGCCUAAAAUGACAGUGGUUCUGUGUUACAUUAAUUUUAAAUAAAUUUGAUCACUUGACUACUUAAA